CCAGACUCCUACGGGAGGCAGCAGUGGGGAAUAUUGCACAAUGGGGGGAACCCUGAUGCAGCGACGCCGCGUGAGUGAAGAAGUAUUUCGGUACGUAAAGCUCUAUCAGCAGGGAAGAAAAAAGGACGGUACCUGAGUAAGAAGCCCCGGCUAACUACGUGCCAGCAGCCGCGGUAAUACGUAGGGGGCAAGCGUUAUCCGGAUUUACUGGGUGUAAAGGGAGCGUAGACGGCAUGGCAAGUCUGAAGUGAAAGCCCGGGGCUCAACCGCGGGACUGCUUUGGAAACUGUUAAGCUGGAGUGCAGGAGAGGUAAGUGGAAUUCCUAGUGUAGCGGUGAAAUGCGUAGAUAUUAGGAGGAACACCAGUGGCGAAGGCGGCUUACUGGACUGUAACUGACGUUGAGGCUCGAAAGCGUGGGGAGCAAACAGGAUUAGAUACCCCAGUA
rnacentral:rRNA from 1 species